GGAUGCGAUCAUACCAGCACUAAAGCACCGUAUCCCAUCAGAACUCCGAAGUUAAGCGUGCUUGGGCGAGAGUAGUACUAGGAUGGGUGACCUCCUGGGAAGUUCUCGUGUUGCAUUCC
rnacentral:rRNA from 1 species